UCUAACUGCUCACUUCUUAUCAGACGGGUUUGAGCUUUUUCAAGGAGACAUCCUAAUGACGGACGACAUACGUGACGAAUUGCGUGACAUGGGUUUGUUUCCACCGCGUGACAGCCCAAACAGUCCUUCGAGGCUUGACAGCCCAACCAGUACGGGACCAAGGCGUAAACGGGCUGCCAUUUCAAACAUUGCACGGCGAUGGAUUGAAAGCAAUAAUAAGCCAGAGAUCCCCUACCAACUCGAGUCCAGCGUGCGUCACGCUCAUCGAGUGAUCAAAUAAGGGAUAGAUCAUUGGGUCCGAUACGUGCCAUGCCUGCGUUUUGUCCCGCGAACGAAUCAACGGUCUUACAUCAGUUUUUUCGCCGGUGGAGGUUGUUUUUCGCACGUUGGAAGACAAGGAGGUGCCCGACGAAUUUCAAUAGCCCGAGCAUGUGAAUACCUACAUAUCGUUGUCCGCGAAAUUGGUCAUGCUCUUGGGUUCUGGCCCGAACAGUCUCGGCCCGACCGAGAGAGCUAUGUAAACAUUUACUGGAACAAUAUUUACCCUC